GUGGGGAAUUUUGGACAAUGGGCGCAAGCCUGAUCCAGCAAUGCCGCGUGCAGGAAGAAGGCCUUCGGGUUGUAAACUGCUUUUGUACGGAACGAAACGGUCCGGGUUAAUACCCUGGGCUAAUGACGGUACCGUAAGAAUAAGCACCGGCUAACUACGUGCCAGCAGCCGCGGUAAUACGUAGGGUGCAAGCGUUAAUCGGAAUUACUGGGCGUAAAGCGUGCGCAGGCGGUUUUGUAAGACAGGCGUGAAAUCCCCGGGCUCAACCUGGGAACUGCAUUUGUGACUGUAUAGCUAGAGUACGGUAGAGGGGGAUGGAAUUCCGCGUGUAGCAGUGAAAUGCGUAGAUAUGCGGAGGAACACCGAUGGCGAAGGCAAUCCCCUGGACCUGUACUGACGCUCAUGCACGAAAGCGUGGGGAGCAAACAGGAUUAGAAACCCUAGUAGUCC
rnacentral:rRNA from 1 species